rnacentral:rRNA from 1 species
ACCAAAAAUCUAGCCCUAUUUUAUUUACAUAAAAACUACUUAAACUGAAUUACAAAACUAAACCAUUUAUUUUAAUUUAGUAAAGGCGAUUGAAAAAUUAUUUAGAGCUACAAUAAUAGUACCGCAAGGAAAAGAUGAAAUAAAAAUGAAAUAAAUUUUAAGUAAAAAAAAGCAGAGCUUUAUCCUCGUACCUUUUGCAUCAUGAUUUAACUAGUUAAACCAAGCACUAAGAAUUAUAGUUUGACUUCCCGAAACUAGACGAGCUACUUCGAGGCAGCUUAAAGAGCACACCCGUCUCUGUUGCAAAAGAGUGGGAUGACCCCAAAGUAGCGGUGACAGACCUAACGAGUCUAGUGAUAGCUGGUUACUUAAGAAAAGGACUUUAGUCCAACCUAAAACAUUAUUUAAUAAACUAAAAUUAAACCCUAUGUUUUAGAGCCAUUCAACCGAGGUACAGCCCGCUUGAAAUAAGGACACAACCUACACUUAUGGGUAAUUAUUUAUGUUUUAUAGCCAAGUAGGCCUAAAAGCAGCCACCUUUUAUAAAAGCGUCAAAGCUUAUCUAUAUUAAACACCUUAAUCACAACAUACUUAAAAAACCCUUCACCUAUAUUAAGUAAUUCUAUACUACUAUAGAAAUUAUUAUGUUAAAACUAGUAAUAAGAAGAAGACCUUCUCUUUAAUAUAAGUAUAAAUCAGAAAGGACAAACCACUGAUAUUUAAAUGCUAAUGAAAAAAAAUAGUAACCGCACUAGAAAACCCUAUUUCACCUAGCAUUAACCUAACACAAGAAUAUUACAAGAAAGAUUUAAAGAAAAAGAAGGAACUCGGCAAAUAUUAACCUCGCCUGUUUACCAAAAACAUCGCCUCUUGUUUACUUAUUAGAGGUCCAGCCUGCCCAGUGACUAAAUUCAACGGCCGCGGUAUCCUAACCGUGCGAAGGUAGCGUAAUCACUUGUUCUUUAAAUAAGGACUAGUAUGAAUGGCACCACGAGGGUUAUACUGUCUCCUUUUUCCAAUCAAUGAAACUGAUCUCCCCGUGAAGAAGCGGGAAUAUACAUAUAAGACGAGAAGACCCUAUGGAGCUUCAAACUAAAUAGCACUGACUUACUUUUUACUAAAUUUCAGAAUAACAAUAUGUAUUCUAGCCAAAUGACUAUUAGUUUUAGGUUGGGGUGACCGCGGAGCAGAAACUAACCUCCACAUUGAAUGGACUAAUUGUCCUGAGCUAUAAACUACACCUUUAAGCACCAAUAAACUGACAUCAAUUGACCCAAUAUUUUGAUCAACGAACCAAGUUACCCUAGGGAUAACAGCGCAAUCUACCUCAAGAGCUCCUAUCGACAGGUAGGUUUACGACCUCGAUGUUGGAUCAGGGUAUCCCAGUGGUGCAGCCGCUACUAAAGGUUCGUUUGUUCAACGAUUAAAACCCU